rnacentral:rRNA from 1 species
GACGAAGGGGGCUAGCGUUGUUCGGAAUUACUGGGCGUAAAGCGCGUGUAGGCGGUUGUUAAAGUCAGGUGUGAAAGCCUUGAGCUCAACUCAAGAAAUGCACUUGAUACUGGAUGACUAGAGGACCGGAGAGGAUAGUGGAAUUCCCAGUGUAGUGGUGAAAUACGUAGAGAUUGGGAAGAACACCAGUGGCGAAGGCGGCUAUCUGGACGGUUUCUGACGCUAAGACGCGAAAGCGUGGGGAGCAAACAGG